CACGCACCUGGGGACAGGGGACAGUGACUGCCCUGGCAGGACGGCCGAGCGUGGCCCGAGGCCUCGGGGCUGAACUGUGCUGAGAACUGAAGCUGCUGGCCUUGUGUGAGCAGCGGCUGUUUGCCUGACACGUCUUCAACCAGCACUCACAUCGAACAUUUGGCUGCUGCUGUUACUGUGCAGAGAACUCGUGGGGAGGAAACUGCUCGUGACCCCAGGCUAAAGCGAUACAGAUGCAAGAAAAAGCAGCAGGUAACAGAGCAGAUCCUGGCCCUGGUUUCUGUCCCAGAAGUGCCAGCCAGGCGUGGGGGACGAGAACGCGGCUGGUGUGCGCCCGGCACAGCCAGGGCUCCGCUCGCGCCACCGCCGCAGCGCUGGGGUGUCCGGCACGGGGCAGCACGCGGGGACGAGCGCGGGGACGAGCAUGGGAUGAGCACGGGACGAGCGCGGGGACGAGCAUGGGAUGAGCACGGGACGAGCGCGGGGACGGGGAGGCAGCGGCUCCGCUCGGGGCUGGCGAGCAAGCCAGACUACGAGUUCAUUUGAAAUCCCCUCUAGACCUCCCUGUUGUGAUUAUGGGAGUAUGAGUGAGUGAGGAGCCUUUGCUUUCCGCAGCGAACCACGUGUGACCACACAGCAAUUCAGAAGCGAAAGAAAAUGGCAGAUUUCCAAAACUUCUCCCCCUCCUUUUUUUUUUUCCCCAGGGGGAAUGUGAUCUGCUCCCAAAUAUUAGUGAGUUACAGACCAACGCAGUAACUAUCAGAUGUAAUUUAAAAAUAAAACAGACUAGUUGUCUAGACAGUCAAGGACUAUCCCAUAACUUUUAAAAGGUUUCUCUCUCCUGGUUGCUCAGAACCAUCGCUGGAAGUUUGGCUGGAAACGCCUGUCGUUACAAAGCGAGCGCUCGGGUCACUCGCGGGAGAGGUUUGGUACUGGGCUGUCCCAGUCCUGCCGUGCUUUGUUGCUGUAUAUGGGAUUCCUCCUGAAGGGUGGGACGCGCAGAUACUGGUUUGAUACUGGGGCGUUGAGAAAGGAGCUGUGCAAAAUAGGCUGAUUUAAACGCUUUAAACCAGUCCUGAUUCUGUAAACUGUUUUAAGGUUUUAGGAUUUUUCUUGCGCUUAGGAUUGAGAGUGUGCAAUAGCCUGGAUGACCUGUGCUAAUGCAGGAGAGUAGCAAAUACCAGGAGUGCAGGACGGAUUUAUGGCUAUUGCUCGUGCGCUGAGGUUGCCACAGGUCUGCUCGGUACGUGGAGGUGCUAAUUACCGUGUGGACAGCUUGUUUUGUUAUUGGGUGGUUUAUCACAGUGCCAGGCUGAGGGAUCUUAUCUGGAGGAAAACAAAUCCUCACAGUGUAUUAUCUGCAAAUUGUAUGCUCUGGGGCAGUUUUACAAGGUUGGAUCAUUCAAAGCGACCAUCACUGCCUUACUUAAAACAAGUGACUAGAGGCCUGAAAGAGUAAUUAGUUUCUUUAUAGUUAAAAAUUUAAAGCGCGUUGUUGACAAAUGGGUGGAACUAUUUAACUAUAAAUAGUUAAGUGCGGCACUAAGGUGCUGGGAAUAUAACUCAAAGAGAUGAGCACAGCAAUUUUGUGAGGGAUUGACCAGAAUCCAUCUCAAAUGCUUCCACUCACCCAAAUUCUUCUCUAUCCCCUGAUUUUCCUGAAUUUACUGUGAUUCAGCUGUGGUCAGGCCGUGUGAGCCCUGCUCAGACACGCUCUGCCCCGGACCCGCGCGCUGGAGCCGCCUCCCUCCGCGUCCGCCCCCGCCCGCCGGAGCCUUGGGCUGGAGGAGCAUCAGAGAAGGUACAGAAAGUGACACGACCCCCAUGUGUUUGGUUUCUGUACGUACAUGUAAGCUGAUACGUGGUGCUGCAGGGGGGGAAGAGUGACGAUGGCUGCUGAGUGCCCCAGGGAGCCUGGCACAGCGUAGUAAGAUGCACUGACCUGCAGGGAGAAAGGAAACUAUAAAUUGAUCUGAAUAUAGACUUGGUGUAGCUACUGGAAGAGCAGCUGAAAACAUUGUCAAGCUUUGCUCACACUUCAGGAAAAAAAACAAAGACUUUUCAGGAGAAAGAAGAGUUUGGAGCAUCGGACACAACCAAGACCUUCCACUUCACCGGCGAGGUGCUCUCCAGGCAGGGCUUGGCUGGGGGAGGGGGCUCGUCCCGCCCUUGAGCUCGGGACUGGUGGGGUGGGUGACCUGGGCUGUCCAGGAGGCUCAGAGCAGCGAUGGAACAGGAUAAACGUGAACUAACGGCCCCAGCUCCCAAGGGCUGCAUUUGAGCCCUCAGCUGUAAGUGUUGCUGAUCCAGUGUGAGAUCACUGGAGUGGGGAGACGUUCCCUCGCGCCUCUCCUUGCACUCGGUGUUUUCUGGCCCCUUUUCGCCUGCUCUGAGCAGGCUCAGCACCUUCGGUUCGCUCACCGUGCCAGGCGCCAGCGUCAGGAAGGAAAAGGAAUUCAGGAAAAUGGCAUUUUGAGGCUGGACUGUGCUCGCCGGGGAGAUCGUCGUAUCUGCCAGUGAGGACCGGUGUUGUUGUUGUUUAUUUAGCUCCAGCUGGGAGCACUGGUAUCGUCUAAACCCUACAUAAUGCAGUCCUUGCCCCAGCAAUCUUUUAAUAACUGUUGUUUAAGGUAUCUACCAUGUCUGCGGUGUCCCGAGGAGCUCGGCAGACCUGUGCGUCCACGCGGCGCGGGUGGCAGCUCCUGCCUGCCCUGGGGACACGGGUACAGCCACCUGCUCAGGUGUGUGUUGGUUUGGGGUGGCCCCGUCCCCACCGUCACUGUGCUGGUACAGAGAGGUACCGGCCGCCCUGAUGGCCGCUCUGUCUCUUGUAGGGUCUGUCACGUUCCUGCGAGGAGCCUGAGCCCCACGAUUCUGCGCCUUGAGGGCAGCACUGGGCACACGCCGUUCCUGCCGAACGUGGGGAGAUGGCUCCCUGGGCCUCCCGGCUGUCCCGGUGAGGAUGCGGGUGGCGUUUGGUCAGGGGGUGAGGCCAUCCAGCGCAAACAGAAGGAAUUUCUGCAAAUGCCAGCUGUUCGGGUGAAAUGUUUUCCUUGCUGGCUGCAAACUUAUGUAGCAAUCAGGGUACAAGAUCUUUCAAUGAAAACAGAGAAUUUUCUAGGAGAGGUAGACCUUCCCUUUCACGUGAAAACCCAGCUAUCUUGCAGGUGGCAAAAGCAAGACAAUUAAGCUGAACAUUUUUGACUAGUCCUAGUGGGCUGCCUUGUUUCCAUGCCCAGCAGCAAGGCGGGAUUAGCCGGCACGAGGAUUAGCUGGCUCGAGGUCAUGCCUCUCUCAGAGGCGGUUGGUCCCGCUGGGCACGGCGCCGCAGCCGCUCCGUGAUGCGACACCGUGUGCGGUGGUUCCGUCUGCUCAGGGCUCCCCAGGGGCUGUGCAGGCUCCGGGAGAUGAGUGAGGUCUCCACAGCCUCACGGGGGCAGGAGCAUUUGUUAUCUCCCCUUUGCAGGCAGGACAGCCUGAGCCUGUCACAGGGGUGGAGGGACGGGGACAGUGUCCUCAGGGGUUUCCAACCGCCUCCUUUCACCGGCAAUGGUCGUUUCUGAAAACGGUGAGAGCCAGCGGUGCUGCGGAGCCCGGUGCGGGAAGGUCCGGGUGCCCAGCCGCGCUGGUGGUGCCAGCCGAGCUGUGCUCCUGGUCCCAAAGCACAGACACGUUCCCGGGCGCUCGGAGCGCGCAGCUCCCCCGUCUGAAAGCAGCGCUGCCGUGCCGGGCGCGGCGGCUCUCGGGAGGUGACACCGGCCCCGGCCAGGCCCGGCGGCUGCGGCGGCGGCCCCGGGGAGCCCAGGCCGGCGGAGUCAGCGGCCGGGAUGUGGCCGGGAUGUGGCCACAGUCACGGGCUCCAGCAGAGACCGCAGGAUCUUAACGAUGCGCGUUGUCGGGGCUUUAAUCUCUUAUUCAUUUCAAAUCUAAUUUCUAGUGGUCAUGUCUGUAACGAGGUGCUGGGGCGCUGGCUUUGCAAGGACCUAGAGGAAAAAAGGUGACUCACCAGCUGUGUUGCUCUCCAGUAAAUUAAGUUAAUUAACAAACCCCAGCAACUACAGCUUCUGUCACUGCACCUGGAGCAGCACAUCAGCUUCCAACCAUCUUUACGUUCCUUGUUUCCUAGUCCAGGUAGGGUCAGACCAGCAUCUCAAAUAAGUGAAGCUGAUUGGAAAUUAUAAUUCUAUUUUAAUUUUGAUAGCCAUAACUUUUGAAAUUUGGGGAUUUGGAGUUUCUUUUUCCUGCAUUGGAGCAAAAUGACAACCUCUUGUAGGUUUUCCUGAUGGAACUGUAUUGAAAUACGCACUACUAGAUAGAACACGUAUUUCAUCUCAGUUCCCAGUCUGCAUGGAAGCAGUGAUCCCUUCAGAACACGCAUCAAAGCUGGGUUUGUGUUUUCAACAGAGAGGAAAGAAGAUUGAAUGAAGUAUUUUCCAGCGAGGUAUAAGUGACUUCAGCAUUCGCUUCUGCCUGUGUCCCGUGGGUACCUUGCGAGCCCCUAUGAUCCGUGAAGAUUCUGUAUUGAGAACUUUAGUCAGAGUGGGAAGAAGAAAUGAGACUCUCUUGCCUCUGCAAAUCAAGAGCGGAUACGGUCCGAAAGGUCGGUCUGUGUGUGUGAUCUCAGCGUCUCUCACCGAGGCGCAGGCUGCAGAGCACAGGGGCUGCGGAACGGCCCUGCCUGGCACAGAGCGUUCGUCUGACGUGGGCACAUGUGGGCACAUGUGGGCACAUGUGGGCACAUGUGGGCAGAGGACUAAGGGGAAGGCUGACAGCCCCAUUUUGCAGAAGCAGGAGGCUGCUCCGUUACUUCUGUGGGUGCUACGACCCCGCUGAACGGGCAUUGGUGAGGCAGCCGGUCCUGUGGGCAGUUCAUGGGUUUGGGAACUGAGCUCGUGGUUCCGCAGUGUCGCGUGUGCCCCGGUGGGCAGAGGGCGGGUUGGGUUCAGAGAGACCCAACGUGUUCUCCUGCGCUGAGGUUCUGGGCUUGUUCAAGUUUUUCAGUGAAGCGCAAUGCUUGUCAUUGAGCAUGAGCAUUGGGGAUGCUGGGGACUCCUUUAUGCUUGAGAUGUACCAGAAAAACUGAAAUACCAAUUCAUAAAAAGAGCGGUUUCUAGGUUCCUGUUAAGCGUGUGGGUUGGACGAAGAGGCGGUUGAAGCAAUUGUGGCAGCACAGACCUGCCCAGUGAACGCAGCCUCUCCCCUGGCCUCAUGGGCUCGUCUGCUCACAAGUCAGGGCCCGAUUCUGCAGGUCCUGCCGUGCUGGUGCAGCUGCAAUCUGAGAGGAGCUCGGAAGGGCUCCUUGUGGAGGUGACGCAGGGGAGAGCGGCCAGUGGCUGAUUUCAGCUUUAAUUCUGCAAACGUUGAGACCUACGUCCUUGUAGGGCAAACCAGACGUUUGCUUGCAGGGUGAAUUGGGGCGCACACCCACAUAGUGUCUGCGAAUGAGCUGACGCUCAGUUUGCUCCCUUGGGAGUUCACGUUCCACACCACUUUCUAAAAUGAAAAAUAGUUUGUUUUGCCAGUUCAGCUCUCUGUUUUCUGUUCUACACCUGGAGCUCACUGCAGGAGGGCAGAAAUCAGAACGGGAAGGUGCUUUAUCCAUGUUUAGUUACUCUGAUAACUUAAUUUCUCCUUUUAUGAACUGCCUUGGGUCCCUGAACUCUGAAGACAGACCUUUCCAACUGAAAAGGAGGGAGGAAACCCCAGGCAGCCUGCUGUGGAUGCCCUAUCUGACCGACACUGUUAGCAUGGGAGCUUUGUCUUGGUGUUUGUGCUUUAGCUUUCACAUUGCUGCCUGUGCAUCGAGUGUUUCUGCCCAGGCUCUGCAUGCUGGACUCGCGCUGGUGCCGCAGCAUCCCCACCGCCGCCGCUUACCUGGAGAGGGGCUCCGCAGGGAAACUCGGCUUUCUCGCCGCCCUGGGUGGCCACGCUGGGGUUGCUGGAGCUGAUGAGGACAGGGGAGCUGAUCUCCAGCGCUGGGCGCUCGCCAGGCGUGUGGACCAUGCGGUUGAGGGUGUUGAGGGCGGUGGUGAUGGAGAACGGCCGCAGGCUCUUCCGCCGGGAGUCGGGCGCCUUGGGGAACGCCGGCGGGUCCGCGCCCUUCGCCUUGGGAGUCGCCACUCGUAGGGACGCCACCUUGAACUGGGGGGACCAGUGGCUUUUGCUGGUGUGCAGGAGCUGCCUGGCAGUGGUGUUUGGCUGCAAGAGACAAAGGGAGACGCGGCGGCACGUUUAGGAGCCGCGCCAGGCACAGCCCGCCCGCUGCUCACUUUGCUCUUUCUCUCCUUUCCUAUCCGGCAGCAGAGCUGUGGGCAGAUUCCCGAUGACGCUACGGGUGAUCUUUGAAAACGUGCAGCUCACUCAUUUCCCUGGUAUGUUUUCGGUGACAAAUCCCGGAUGCAAAAGUACUGAUGCAAAGCUGACAGCAAAAUGAAAACGCGUUUGAAAAAUGUGUUGCUUAGACAACAAGUUACUGCGGUUGGCGCUCCUCCCCAGUGCUUUACAGAAAGGUUUGUCCCUUGUCGAGGCCUUUGGCUUGCAGCGGCAGGAGAGCCGCCUGACUGCAGCAGUGUCACAAGAAAUCUGACUCUAAACGAGAGGGGCGUGUGGGCACCCUGCACGCUGGCACGCUUCGGUGCGUCUCCUGCAGCCGACGUUACGGCGUGAGCUGGAGAAGCCCUCGGUGACGGUGGCGUUCCCGGCAGAAUCAGAUCCGCCCAGGUACAUCUCUGUAAGCCCAAACACUCAUGGCUUGAUCCUGCUCCCAUUGAAAAGAGCCGGGCUUGUUAACCACGGGGCUUAAUGAGGGAAGAGUCAGGCCCUGACUUUGCAUACGGACAGCGUUCAGACGGUAUUCCUUGGAAACUGCUGAUCAAACAGUAUUAAUAGCAAAGGGCAUGUGGCGACAAUGUUUUUUACCGCGAUGACUGCCAGAGGAAUUAAUCAUGAUGUACUGCUGACAGUAACGAAUUGCAAAAGCUGAGAUUCUCCCCCGUGGGGCGAGGCAGCGCGCCGGCCCGGCCGGCCCGGGAGCCGCAGCGCAGGGGCCUCUCUAACCUUAGCACCUUAAACAGGGAUCGUUUGCACUUUUUCCUUCUCCUCACCCCUUAAAGCGAGGGUUUAAAGCUACAGUGUGUGCAUAUGUACACAUAUAAGAUGCUAAUAUUGUCAUUACUGUAUGUAAUUAAACUUUAGCCUAAACUGGAAA